rnacentral:tRNA from 1 species
CGGGGUGUAGCGCAGUCUGGUAGCGCACCUGCUUCGGGAGCAGGGGGUCGUUGGUUCAAAUCCAGUCACCCCGACCA